AGCCAUGCCGCGUGUGUGAAGAAGGCCUUUUGGUUGUAAAGCACUUUAAGCAGGGAGGAGAGGCUAAUGGUUAAUACCCAUUAGAUUAGACGUUACCUGCAGAAUAAGCACCGGCUAACUCUGUGCCAGCAGCCGCGGUAAUACAGAGGGUGCGAGCGUUAAUCGGAAUUACUGGGCGUAAAGCGAGUGUAGGUGGCUCAUUAAGUCACAUGUGAAAUCCCCGGGCUUAACCUGGGAACUGCAUGUGAUACUGGUGGUGCUAGAAUAUGUGAGAGGGAAGUAGAAUUCCAGGUGUAGCGGUGAAAUGCGUAGAGAUCUGGAGGAAUACCGAUGGCGAAGGCAGCUUCCUGG
rnacentral:rRNA from 1 species